rnacentral:rRNA from 1 species
AGGGUGUAAACGCUGCAGACUUGGUGUUGGAAGCCCUUUGGGGGCAUUCAGUGCCGGAGAGAAGUUGUUAAGUCUGCUACUUGGGGAGUACGUCCGCAAGGAUGAAACUUAAAGGAAUUGGCGGGGGAGCACCGCAACGGGAGGAGCGUGCGGUUUAAUUGGAUUCAACACCGUAAAACUCACCAGGGAAGACUGUUACAUGAAGGCUGAGAUGAAGACUCUGCUAGAUUUUCAGAGAGGUGGUGCAUGGCGUCAGUGACU